GCAUGCAGACCUUGUGUCAUCAGAACUCAUUAUUUAAUUGAAACUCCUUCUAGCAUUUUUGUACCGGACUUAAAAAUGAAAGAAACAACAUAAAAAUGAAAGAAACAACAUGGACAAUUCUAGAGGAAACUCAAUUAUAUUUUAUAAUAUUCCCACUAUAACUAAGUGUGUGCAUAUUUGUCACAUCACAGGUCCUUGGGGCUAAUAUGACAUUCAGAUUGUGCGGCACCUAGAUUUCCCCAAAUCUAGGCCAGCCCAAUUCCAGC
rnacentral:misc_RNA from 1 species